rnacentral:rRNA from 1 species
UACGUAGGGUGCAAGCGUUUGUCCGGAAUUAUUGGGCGUAAAGAGCUCGUAGGCGGUUUGUCGCGUCUGCUGUGAAAACCCGAGGCUCAACCUCGGGCCUGCAGUGGGUACGGGCAGACUAGAGUGGCGGUAGGGGAGAUUGGAAUUCCUGGUGUAGCGGUGGAAUGCGCAGAUAUCAGGAGGAACACCAAUGGCGAAGGCAGAUCUCUGGGCCGGUAACUGACGCUGAGGAGCGGAAAGCAUGGGGAGCGAACAGG